rnacentral:rRNA from 1 species
GACGAACGCUGGCGGCGUGCUUAACACAUGCAAGUCGAACGGAAAGGCCCUGCUUUUGUGGGGUGCUCGAGUGGCGAACGGGUGAGUAACACGUGAGUAACCUGCCCUUGACUUUGGGAUAACUUCAGGAAACUGGGGCUCAUAUCGGAUAGGAGCUCCUGCUGCAUGGUGGGGGUUGGAAAGUUUCGGCGGUUGGGGAUGGACUGGCGGCUUAUCCGCUUGUUGGUGGGGUAGUGGCGUACCAAGGGUUUGACGGGUAGCCGGCCUGAGAGGGUGGCCGGCGACAAUGGGCCUGCGAGACGGACCAGACUCCUACCGGAGGCAGCAGUGGAGAGUAUGACGCAAUGGGCGGAAGCCUGAUGCAGCAACGCCGCGUGCGGGAUGAUGGCCUUCGGGUUGUGAACAGCUUUCGCAUGUGACGAAGCGGGAGUGACGGUAAUUGGUAAAGAAGCACCGGCUAACUACGUG